GAAGAAGAACUUAGAUUGAGUUGUAAAGGAUAUCAUACGAAUUAAAGAAAAUUCGUAUUAAGUAAAGAGAAAGUUAGAAGUUCUAAGAUUUCGAUUGAGGACUCAUAUGAUAGUUGAGUAGUACGAACCUUCGAAUGGGAGGGGGUUUGUGAUUACUUAGUUAUUAUAGUGAUAAUCGUUGGAACAGUAUGUCGCGCUAUCAAUAUGUAUAUGACGAGAAUGUGAAUCUUUUCUCAUGUAUAUACUUGAUAGGUAGAGAAUG
rnacentral:lncRNA from 1 species